CAAAAAAAAAAAAAAAAAAAAAAAGGAAAAGGGAAAGGGAAAAGCUUUGGUUUUGGUUUUGGUUUUAGUUUU
rnacentral:ribozyme from 1 species